ensembl:lncRNA
UCCCCGUCUCCCUCUCUCUCCCCGUCUCCCUCUCUCUCCCUCUCCCCGUCUCCCUCUCUCUCCCCGUCUCCCUCCCUCUCCCCGUCUCCCUCUCUCUCCCUCUCCCCGUCUCCCUCUCUCUCCCUCUCCCCCUCUCUCCGUCUCCCUCUCUAUGUUACUAAAGAGACGGCACUCAAGACAGCUAUACUGGAGAACAGUUAUUUAUUGAUGAGAAAAAUAAUGGAAUAACAAUAAACACGUUUUCGUGACCAAAAGCAGUGUCUUUUGAAAUAGACAGAUAUCAAAAUGUUGUAAUUGAACAUGAUUUGUAAAUAAUAAUAUAAAUAUGAGUGUUUUUUCCACAUUGCUUUGAGGUGUUGUUCAUUACAGAGCAUGUCUCAGCUCACUGCCCAUCCUGUCUACAUAAGGGCAAAGGGAAGGCUUAUAGCAACUGUGUGAAGGGUUAUAGAGGUUGUGUGAAGGGUUAUAGCACUACUGUAAUAUUCUGUCAAAUAAAUCUAAAAGCAUUGCUCAAACUAACGAGAUGUGGUUUUGUGUGUCCUUGGCUCUGAGAUGCUAAGGGAUCAUAUCACUCUUUCCUGCACUCAUAUUUCUUCCUCUUCUUUUCAAAUAAUCUCUCCCUUGGUCUUACUCUCUCUCACACACAGAAAAGGGAGUCACAGUGGCCAGCUAUUCUCAGCACCAAUGAGGGAAAGUGUAAAAUAUAGCCUAUCCCAGUGUCAAAACCGAAGCUUCAGAAGUCAGUGAUGGUGAAACCAGUCCUCAUACUCAGCUGGAGGAGAGACAGAACAAGAUGUCAUCACCAUUGACAAGUCAUUAUUACAUCACCAUUGACAAGUCAUUAUUACAUCACUAUUGACAAGUCAUUAUUACAUCACCAUUGACAAGUCAUUAUUACAUCACCAUUGAGAACUUCAGUUAGUUUAGUCCUGUUUUAAUAACAUGCUGUAUGAUAGUGUAUGAUGUGUGUUAUGGUAAACAAUAAAGGCCAUUUCUACUUCCUGUCUAUUUGAAUCAUAUUAUUCUUCCUUGUCCUCUUGUAGGGUUUUCCCUCAGAAACACAUAAAACCUUCAAAUGUAGUCAGUUAUACUGCCAAGAGAAAAACAGCAUUGACGGGUUAAAUAUUAGCUUAACAAGAAAUCAAUGGUUACACGGUUACAUCCAGAAAAAGACUGGAGCUCGAAACACUGACAAUCUUUUCAGAUUGUAUAGAGUAUAGGAGAAAGCACUGUAGGAUAAUGCCCUAGGGAAUGGGUAUAGGAGAAAGCACUGUAGGAUAAUGUGCAAGGAAAUGAGUAUAGGAGAAAGCACUGUAGGAUAAUGCGCUAGGGAAUGGGUAUAGGAGAAAGCACUGUAGGAUAAUGCGCUAGGGAAUGGGUAUAGGAGAAAGCACUGUAGGAUAAUGGCCUAGGGAAUGGGUAUAGGAGAAAGUACUGUAGGAUAAGGCGUUAGGGAAUGGGUAGGGGAGAAAGCACUGUAGGAUAAUGUGCUAGGGAUUGGGAAGGGGAGAAAGCACUGUAGGAUAAUGCGCUAGGGAAUGGGAAGGGGAGAAAGCACUGUAGGAUAAUGCGCUAGGGAAUGGGAAGGGAUAUAGGAGAAAGCACUGUAGGAUAAUGCGCAAGGGAAUGGGAAGGGGAGAAAGCACUGUAGGAUAAGGCGCUAGGGAAUGGGAAGGAAUAUAGGAGAAAGUACUGUAGGAUAAGGCGCUAGGGAAUGGGAAGGGAUAUAGGAGAAAGCACUGUAAAAUAAUGCCCUAGGGAAUGGGAAGGGGAGAAAGCAAUGUAGGAAAAGGCGCUAGGGAAUGGGAAGGAAUAUAGGAGAAAGUACUGUAGGAUAAGGCGCUAGGGAAUGGGAAGGGAUAUAGGAGAAAGCACUGUAAAAUAAUGCCCUAGGGAAUGGGAAGGGGAGAAAGCAAUGUAGGAAAAGGCGCUAGGGAAUGGGAAGGGAUAUAGGAGAACGCACUGUAAAAUAAUGCCCUAGGGAAUGGGAAGGGGAGAAAGCACUAUAGGAUAAGGCGCUAGGGAAUGGGAAGGGGAGAAAGCACUGUAGGAUAAGGCGCUAGGGAAUGGGAAGGGAUAUAGGAGAAAGCACUGUAAAAUAAUGCCCUAGGGAAUGGGAAGGGGAGAAACCACUGUAGGAUAAGGCGCUAGGGAAUGGGAAGGGAUAUAGGAGAAAGCACUGUAAAAUAAUGCCCUAGGGAAUGGGAAGGGGAGAAAGCACUGUAGGAUAAGGCGCUAGGGAAUGGGAAGGGAUAUAGGAGAACGCACUGUAAAAUAAUGCCCUAGGGAAUGGGAAGGGGAGAAAACACUGUAGGAUAAGGCGCUAGGGAAUGGGUAGGGGAGAAAGUACUGUAGGAUAAGGCGCUAGGGAAUGGGAAGGGGAGAAAGCACUGUAGGAUAAGGCGCUAGGGAAUGGGUAGGGGAGAAAGUACUGUAGGAUAAGGCGCUAGGGAAUGGGUAGGGGAGAAAGUACUGUAGGAUAAGGCGCUAGGGAAUGGGUAGGGGAGAAAGUACUGUAGGAUAAGGCGCUAGGGAAUGGGAAGGGGAGAAAACACUGUAGGAUAAGGCGCUAGGGAAUGGGAAGGGGUAUAGGAGAAAGUACUGUAGGAUAAGGCGCUAGGGAAUGGGUAGGGGAGAAAGUACUGUAGGAUAAGGCGCUAGGGAAUGGGAAGGGGAGAAAGCACUGUAGGAUAAGGCGCUAGGGAAUGGGAAGGGGAGAAAGCACUGUAGGAUAAGGCGCUAGGGAAUGGGUAGGGGGAAAGUACUGUAGGAUAAGGCGCUAGGGAAUGGGUAGGGUUGAAAGCACUGUAAGAUAAGGCGCUAGGGAAUGGGUAGGGAGAAAGCACUGUAGGAUAAGGCGCUAGGGAAUGGGUAGGGGAGAAAGUACUGUAGGAUAAGGCGCUAGGGAAUGGUAUAGGAGAAAGCACUGUAGGAUAAGGCGCUAGGGAAUGGGUAGGGGACAAAGUACUGUAGGAUAAGGCGCUAGGAAAUGGGUAUAGGAGAAAGUACUGUAGGAUAAGGCGCUAGGGAAUGGGUAUAGGAGAAAGUACUGUAGGAUAAGGCGCUAGGGAAUGGGUAGGGGAGAAAGUACUGUAGGAUAAGGCGCUAGGGAAUGGGUAUAGGAGAAAGCACUGUAGGAUAAGGCGCUAGGGAAUGGGUAGGGGAGAAAGUACUGUAGGAUAAGGCGCUAGGGAAUGGGUCUACGAGAAAGUAAUGUAGGAUAAGGCGCUAGGGAAUGGGUAUAGGAGAAAGUACUGUAGGAUAAGGCGCUAGGGAAUGGGUAGGGGAGAAAGUACUGUAGGAUAAGGCGCUAGGGAAUGGGUAGGGGAGAAAGUACUGUAGGAUAAGGCGCUAGGGAAUGGGUAGGGGAGAAAGCACUGUAGGAUAAGGCGCUAGGGAAUGGGUAGGGGAGAAAGCACUGUAGGAUAAGGCGCUAGGGAAUGGGUAGGGGAGAAAGCACUGUAGGAUAAGGCGCUAGGGAAUGGGCAGGGGAGAAAGUACUGUAGGAUAAGGCGCUAGGGAAUGGGCAGGGGAGAAAGUACUGUAGGAUAAGGCGCUAGGGAAUGGGCAGGGGAGAAAGUACUGUAGGAUAAGGCGCUAGGGAAUGGGUAGGGGAGAAAGUACUGUAGGAUAAGGCACUAGGGAAUGGGAAGGGAUAUAGGAGAAAGCAUUUAAAAGCAAAUACUUUUACUCAAGUAGUAUUUUACUGUGUGACUUUCACUUUUACCAUUUUCUUUAACCUUGAUUUAACUAGGCAAGUCAGUUAAGAACAAAUUCUUAUUUACAAUGACGGCCUUCCCCGGCCAAACCCUAAUCCAGACGACACUGGGCCUUCCCCAGCCAAACCCUAAUCCAGACGACACUGGGCCUUCUCCGGCCAAACCCUAAUCCAGACGACACUGGGCCUUCUCCGGCCAAACCCUAAUCCAGACGACACUGGGCCUUCCCGGCCAAACCCUAAUCCAGACGACACUGGGCCUUCCCCGGCCAAACCCUAAAUCCAGACGACACUGGGCCUUCCCCGGCCAAACCCUAAUCCAGACGACACUGGGCCUUCCCCGGCCAAACCCUAAUCCCGACCACACUGGGCCUUCCCCGGCCAAACCCUAAUCCCGACCACACUGGGCCAAUUGUGCGACGCACUAUGGGACUCCCAAUCACAGCCGGAUGUGAUACAGCCUGGAAUCAAACCAGGGUCUGUAGUGACGCCUUUACUGAGAUGCAGUGCCUUUUUCUAUUAAGGUAUCUUUACUUUUACUCAAGUAUGACAAUUGGGUACUUUUUCCACUAUUGAUGUUAGUGCCACGGAAUUCAUUUAAAAUAUUGAUGGGAGACUCUGUUACAGAGGAGUGUAAAUGCUUUUUCUUAGGCUGGAUCACGUUGUUGUAUUGUAUUGUUGUAUGUUUUAAUUCUGUAAUGUAUUGAUUGUUAAUGCCUUCUUGGCCAGGUCUCCCUUGAAAAAGAGACUGUGUCUCAAUAGGCUUUUCCUGGGUAAAUAAAAAUAAAAAUGGAAAGGGGGUAUAGAAGGCACUGUAGGAUAAGGCCCUAGGGAAUGGGACUAGGAUAUAGGAGAUGGAAUGGGACUAGGGUAUAGGAGAUGGAAUGGGACUAGGGUAUAGGAGAUGGAAUGGGACUAGGGUAUAGGAGAUGGAAUGGGACUAGGAUAUAGGAGAUGGAAUGGGACUAGGAUAUAGGAGAUGGAAUGGGACUAGGAUAUAGGAGAUGGAAUGGGACUAGGAUAUAGGAGAUGGAAUGGGACUAGGGUAUAGGAGAUGGAAUGGGACUAGGAUAUAGGAGAUGGAAUGGGACUAGGAUAUAGGAGAUGGAAUGGGACUAGGAUAUAGGAGAUGGAAUGGGACUAGGAUAUAGGAGAUGGAAUGGGACUAGGGUAUAGGAGAUGGAAUGGGACUAGGGUAUAGGAGAUGGAAUGGGACUAGGAUAUAGGAGAUGGAAUGGGACUAGGGUAUAGGAGAUGGAAUGGGACUAGGGUAUAGGAGAUGGAAUGGGACUAGGGUAUAGGAGAUGGAAUGUGACUAGGGUAUAGGAGAUGGAAUGGGACUAGGGUAUAGGAUAUGAAAUGGGACUAGGGUAUAGGAGAUGAAAUGGGACUAGGGUAUAGGAGAUGGAAUGGGACUAGGAUAUAGGAGAUGGAAUGGGACUAGGAUAUAGGAGAUGGAAUGGGACUAGGGUAUAGGAGAUGGAAUGGGACUAGGGUAUAGGAGAUGGAAUGGGACUAGGAUAUAGGAGAUGGAAUGGGACUAGGGUAUAGGAGAUGGAAUGGGACUAGGGUAUAGGAGAUGGAAUGGGACUAGGGUAUAGGAAAUGGAAUGGGACUAGGGUAUAGGAGAUGGAAUGGGACUAGGGUAUAGGAGAUGGAAUGGGACUAGGGUAUAGGAGAUGGAAUGGGACUAGGGUAUAGGAGAUGGAAUGGGACUAGGGUAUAGGAGAUGGAAUGGGACUAGAGUAUAGGAGAUGGAAUGGGACUAGGGUAUAGGAGAUGGAAUGGGACUAGAGUAUAGGAGAUGGAAUGGGACUAGAGUAUAGGAGAUGGAAUGGGACUAGGGUAUAGGAGAUGGAAUGGGACUAGAGUAUAGGAGAUGGAAUGGGACUAGGGUAUAGGAGAUGGAAUGGGACUAGGGUAUAGGAGAUGGAAUGGGACUAGGGUAUAGGAGAUGGAAUGGGACUAGGGUAUAGGAGAUGGAAUGGGACUAGAGUAUAGGAGAUGGAAUGGGACUAGGGUAUAGGAGAUGGAAUGGGACUAGGGUAUAGGAGAUGGAAUGGGAGAGUGGGGUAGAGGAGAGACAGGCCCUAGGGAAUGGGACUAGGGUAUAGGAGAUGGAAUCAGAGAGGGGGGGGUAGAGGAGAGACAGGAGAAGGCACUGUAGGAUAAGCAGGGUUGGGUAGGUUACUUUCUAAACAAGUUACCUGUCCAAAAUUGUAAUCAGAAAUAAAACUUUUGGAUUACCCAAACUCAGUAACAUAAUCUGAUUACAUUACAUUUAUUUUAGAUGACUUUCCCCUUAAGAGGUAUAAGAAGAAGACAAAAAUGUAUGUUACCAAUUGAACGACAUUGCAGGAUAAAUCAAUGUUAAAGUUUACAUAGCUGGUCAUAAAUGGGUGUUACAUUUGACUUUAUGGGUUAUGUAGGCUUCUUCUAACCCAUCGCUUUCUACUCCAACGAUUAAACUAUAUAUUUACAUUAAAAACCAGUCUAUCAGAAUUCCAGUCAUUACAAUAAAUGAUAUACCCCUUGACCUUCAAGAAUAGGACUUGGAAAUACAGAAGUAUAGAUCAGCCAAACGGUUUUAUCUGAGUAUAACCCCAAAACGAAGGACUUAUUAGCCAGCCCUACUGUGUUGUUUAUGAUUUUGUCGUUGAGGACUGAUUGGGUUUAUUGAUUCUAAUUGAAAAAAUAAAUGCUUCGCUCGUGGAAUGGCAAGCUUUGAACACUGAAAAGUGCUAUUUACAUGUGAAAAAUGAAUGCCAUGUGCUGCAUUUGCUAUAUGUCUAUUGUUUACCUUUUAGUUGGCGACACUUUGAUAUCUUGAUAAUAUGCAGCUGUUUAAAGGGCAACUCCACAGAUGAAACAAUAACAAAAUGGGCACCCCGCCUCUGUUUUGGUAAAAAGCGGAGGGAUGGGCCUGGAGAAAUGUAACCACUCUCAGAUGAAUAGACAGAGCUACGGAUGUAAGGACUGACCAUCCAUGAUAUCAAAAUUAUAGUUUUAACUACAGUAUGUUAUGAGGCUAUACCUUGUUUGAUUACAUUUACAAUGUUUACAAACAUUGGAGAAAAACAAGCUUCUAUUUUGGGUUCUGAUGGAGUGUGGCUGUUGAACUAAGCUCAUGAGGCAUUUAUAAGUUAUAUUCUUCAACAAUUAAUGGAUAUAUACAGGUAUAUAUAAUGUAUAAGUCCAAAAAUGGAUGUACCAUCUACAGAUUGACCCUUUAAGUCUAUCAAAAGUGAAGGAGUUUGAGCAUGUGUCCAGUAGGCCUAUGGAUUUAUUUUUAUCAACUUGAAUUAUAUUGUGCAAUAAAAGCACCACGUUUAUUCCAUAUGCUGGGAUCCGCACUAUGCAGCUGUUAUUCCAUAUGCUGGGAUCUGCACUAUGCAGCUGUUAUUCCAUAUGCUGGGAUCCGCACUAUGCGGCUGUUAUUCCAUAUGCUGGGAUCCGCACUGUGCAGCUGUUAUUCCAUAUGCUGGGAUCUGCACUAUGCAGCUGUUAUUCCAUAUGCUGGGAUCCGCACUAUGCAGCUGUUAUUCCAUAUGCUGGGAUCCGCACUAUGCAGCUGUUAUUCCAUAUGCUGGGAUCCGCACUAUGCAGCUGUUAUUCCAUAUGCUGGGAUCUGCACUGUGCAGCUGUUAUUCCAUAUGCUGGGAUCUGCACUAUGCAGCUGUUAUUCCAUAUGCUGGGAUCUGCACUGUGCAGCUGUUAUUCCAUAUGCUGGGAUCUGCACUAUGCAGCUGUUAUUCCAUUAGCUGGGAUCCGCACUAUGCAGCUGUUAUUCCAUAUGCUGGGAUCCGCACUAUGCAGCUGUUAUUCCAUUAGCUGGGAUCCGCACUAUGCAGCUGUUAUUCCAUAUGCUGGGAUCUGCACUGUGCAGCUGUUAUUCCAUAUGCUGGGAUCCGCACUAUGCAGCUGUUAUUCCAUAUGCUGGGAUCUGCACUGUGCAGCUGUUAUUCCAUAUGCUGGGAUCUGCACUAUGCAGCUGUUAUUCCAUAUGCUGGGAUCCGCACUAUGCAGCUGUUAUUCCAUAUGCUGGGAUCCGCACUAUGCAACUGUUAUUCCAUAUGCUGGGAUCCGCACUAUGCAACUUCUUGAAUUCAACCAUUAUUGGGUUCAAAACCACAUUUAGAUUUGUGAACAUACAACCACAAUCCGUAAGGCAAAAAUAGCUAAAUAAGAGAGCAGCAGUGUGAUUCACAUCAAUACGCUAUGUAGAUAUCAGUAAUUAGUGAUAUCGGUAUCACUGUAGACGACACCACUACUGUCAUCCUUUACCUCCAAGCCUUUAUUCAAGUUGGAUCAUCUUUGGAUGCCGACAGCAGUCACACCAUUGGAAGACAUGGCUUGGACUGAAACCCACAAUAGCCCUUUCCUGCUCUUUUCCCGCGAUCCAUCAAACACAUUUGAUGUGUUAUCAUAGUGGUCUCUGACUUGUGGUCAGACUCGCUCAGGUGGAACAAACUUAAUACAUUUGCGCCUUCUUCAAUGCUGAUUUGAAUGUCAUUGAGAAAACAGAGAGGUGUCAAUAUUUUUUUUCAGAAACAUCCUUUCUGAAUUUAAAAGUAACCCUGGAAAUAAUCUUCUAGUUUUUCAAAAGUAUCUGUAAUCUGAUUACAAUAUUUUCGUUUGUAACGGAUUACAGUUACCGUUACAUGUAAACUCCCCAACCCUGAGGAUAAGGCACUGGAGAAUGAGAGAGAGGGGGUAGAGAGAAAGGAAUGGGAGAGAGGGAAUAGAGGAGAUGGAAUGGGAGAGUGGGUGUCGAGGAGAAGGAAUGGGAGAGGGGGGAUAGAGGAGAUGGAAUGGGAGAGAGGGGAUAGAGGAGAAGGAAUGGGAGAGAGGGAAUAGAGGAGAAGGAAUGGGAGAGGGGUAGAUGGGAAGAAAUGGGACAGAGGGGAUAGAGGAUAAGGAAUGGGAGAGGGGGGAUAGAAGAGAUGGAAUGGGAGAGAGGGGAUAGAGGAAAAGGAAUGGGAGAGAGGGGAUAGAGGAGAUGGAAUGGGAGAGAGGGGGAUAGAAGAGAUGGAAUGGGAGAGGGGGGAUAGAAGAGAUGGAAUGGGAGAGAGGGGAUAGAAGAGAUGGAAUGGGAGAGGGGGGAUAGAGGAGAAGGAAUGGGAGAGAGGGGAUAGAGGAGAUGGAAUGGGAGAGAGGGGAUAGAGGAGAAGGAAUGGGAGAGAGGGGAUAGAGGAGAUGGAAUGGGAGAGAGGGGAUAGAGGAGAAGGAAUGGGAGAGAGGGGAUAGAGGAGAUGGAAUGGGAGAGAGGGGAUAGAGGAGAUGGAAUGGGAGAGGGGGUGUCGAAGGAGAAGGAAUGGGAGAGGGGGAUAGAGGAGAAGGAAUGGGAGAGAGGGAAUAGAGGAGAAGGAAUGGGAGAGGGGGUAGAUGGGAAGAAAUGGGACAGAGGGGAUAGAGGAUAAGGAAUGGGAGAGGGGGUGUCGAGGAGAAGGAAUGGGAGAGAGGGGAUAGAGGAGAUGGAAUGGGAGAGAGGGAUAGAGGAGAAGGAAUGGGAGAGAGGGGAUAGAAGAGAUGGAAUGGGAGAGAGGGGAUAGAGGAAAAGGAAUGGGAGAGAGGGAAUAGAGGAGAUGGAAUGGGAGAGGGGGUAGAUGGGAAGAAAUGGGACAGAGGGGAUAGAGGAUAAGGAAUGGGAGAGAGGGAAUAGAGGAGAAGGAAUGGGAGAGGGGGUAGAUGGGAAGAAAUGGGACAGAGGGGAUAGAGGAUAAGGAAUGGGAGAGGGGGUGUCGAGGAGAAGGAAUGGAAGAGAGGGAUAGAGGAGAUGGAAUGGGAGAGGGGGUGUCGAGGAGAAGGAAUGGGAGGGAGGGGAUAGAGGAUAAGGAAUGGGAGAGGGGGUGUCGAGGAGAAGGAAUGGGGGAGAGGGGAUAGAGGAGAUGGAAUGGGAGAGAGGGGAUAGAGGAGAUGGAAUGGGGGAGAGGGGAUAGAAGAGAAGGAAUGGGAGGGGCUGCUUUAUGCUAAAGAUUAAACAACUUGUGACAUCAUCAGAUAAACACUCAAUUCUAUCACGUAUCUCCUGUUUCCACUCGUUCCUAUUUUUUUACAACAGUCAAAGAACGUCAACAUAUACAUUUAUAUAAAACAUAAUCAUGAACGUUAAAGUUUAAUGUCAAAAACAGUCCUUUAUAUGACUUGGUGUGUCUUCAGUUUUUAUCCUGUGUUCCUACUGAGGUUGCCAGGACAACAGCACCACCAUGUGGUGACGUGAACAACCAGCAGCCUGUGGUGUCUGCCAGUGUGUCUCAGUCAGGAUCCAUCCUGGGGACCCACUGUGUGUAGGCUGGACUUCCCUCCAGCUCAGCAUCAAUAAGACACUAAUUAGUACAUGGACAACUGCAUGAUGGGUACAGUAGUUUGUGCUACUGAAGGAAGGGGGCCUUGGACACCAGCACAGCUCAACAAAACAACAACAUUAUGUGUUGAGAAGAGGUUCAGUCACACUGAUAGAGGAAGGCCUUAGUGCUGGUGUGGUUUCUUCCCUUCAUCUCUGAAACAUAAAACGUGCACACUACACUACAUUGAUGAAAGCUAAAAAUCUAUCUGCAAAAUUAAAGCUGAAAAAAAAAGUAAUUAAAAAAUAAAAUAACAAAUACAAAUACAAAAAAAAUAAAACAUAAAACGUGCCCAGUAAAAAACACUGAACCACUGAACACAUAAUCAUGCUGAUAAUCCUAUUUGUGAAUAACAACAAUAAUGAUCAACUCAGUUCUCACAGGGUGUGUAGCCUGAUGAUGCCACUGAAUGUCUUCUCCAUCCCAGGAGCCAAAUGGUUUCUGAGGGCGAGGGGAGGGGCGUGGAGUGUUGGGGUAGGGGUCUGUUAGGGGGGCGUGGAGUGUUGGGAUAGGGGUCUGUUAGGGGGCGUGGAGUGUUGGGGUAGGGGUCUGUUAGGGGGCGGGAGUGUUGGGAUAGGGGUCUGUUAGGGGGCGUGGAGUGUUGGGAUAGGGGUCUGUUAGGGGGCGUGGAGUGUUGGGAUAGGGGGUCUGUUAGGGGGCGUGGAGUGUUGGGGUAGGGGUCUGUUAGGGGGCGUGGAGUGUUGGGGUAGGGGUCUGUUAGGGGGCGUGGAGUGUUGGGGUAGGGGUCUGUUAGGGGGCGUGGAGUGUUGGGAUAGAGGUCUGUUAGGGGGCGCGGAGUGCUGGGAUAGGGGUCUGUUAGGGAAUGGAGGGUGUUGGGACAGGGUCUGUUAGGGGUGGGAUAGGUUGUUAGACAGGGGUCUGUUGGACAGG